CCUACGGGAGGCAGCAGUGGGGAAUAUUGCACAAUGGGCGAAAGCCUGAUGCAGCGACGCCGCGUGAGCGAAGAAGGCCUUCGGGUCGUAAAGCUCUGUCCUAUGGGACGAUAAUGACGGUACCAUAGGAGGAAGCCCCGGCUAACUACGUGCCAGCAGCCGCGGUAAU
rnacentral:rRNA from 1 species